GACGAACGCUGGCGGCGUGCUUAACACAUGCAAGUCGAACGGUAAGGCCCUUCGGGGUACACGAGUGGCGAACGGGUGAGUUACACGUGGGUGAUCUGCCCUGCACUUCGGGAUAAGCCUGGGAAACUGGGUCUAAUACCGGAUAGGACCACUGCCUGCAGGGGUGGUGGUGGAAAGCUUUUGCGGUGUGGGAUGGGCCCGCGGGCUAUCAGCUUGUUGGUGGGGUGAUGGCCUACCAAGGCGACGACGGGUAGCCGGCCUUGGAGGGUGACCGGCCACAGUGGGACUGAGAUACGGCCCAGACUCCUACGGGAGGCAGCAGUGGGGAAUAUUGCACGAUGGGCGCAAGCCUGAUGCAGCGACGCCGCGUGAGGGAUGACGGCCUUCGGGUUGUAAACCUCUUUCAGCACCGACGAAGCGCAAGUGACGGUAGGUGCAGAAGAAGGACCGGCCAACUACGUGCCAGCCGCCGCCGUAA
rnacentral:rRNA from 1 species